UUCGACCUGAACUCAGGCGUGAGUACCCGCUGAACUUAAGCAUAU
rnacentral:rRNA from 1 species